rnacentral:rRNA from 1 species
GACGAGGGAUCCUAGCGUUGUUCGGAAUCAUUGGGCGUAAAGCGGGUGUAGGCGGGCUUAUAAGUCAGAUGUGAAAUCCCAGGGCUCAACCCUGGAAGUGCAUUUGAUACUGUAAGUCUUGAGUGUGGUAGAGGUUACUGGAAUUCCUGGUGUAGUGGUGAAAUACGUAGAUAUCAGGAGGAAUACCGGAGGCGAAGGCGAGUAACUGGGCCAACACUGACGCUGAGAUCCGAAAGCGUGGGGAUCAAACAGG